ensembl:lncRNA
GAUGCUAUACGCUUUAAACUUAUAAAAUGUUCUAUGUCAAUUAUAUCUCAAUAAAUCUGGAAGGAAAAAAGAAAUUUGUUAAAUCAUUCUGCAGUUUCAUCCGAGGGAAGGUAAUAGGUGUGCUGGGGCUGCGGCAAUCAAGUUUGGCUCCUUUGGGGGUGGUGGAGAGAAGACUGGGAGAGAUUAUGUAUUUUUCAUUCACUACUGACAGAGGUGUUUCUUUAGGCAAUAUUUGCUCUCAUCAGACUUGCGGAAUGUACCAACAUUCUGUGCUGUUUGAACCAGGACCACUGCCAGGAAAAUGCAACACAUAAGAAUUGUUCCAGUUACGAAGAAAGAUUCGUCUGCUACAAAACAAGUUUGAAAUCCGCUGCUGUGUACAGUAUUUUCUCAGAAUCCUUUUCAGAAGGUGGAAGCAUUUUCCUGGAAAGAUGGAAGCUGACCUCUUAGACACUAGACAAGCAACUGCUGCUGCUUCUCAUCUCUCUGACAUCAUAUAAGGACUCACUUGAUUGAAGAGAUGAGACUGGUGUGAUGGAAGCAGAAGGAAGGAGAAAAUGAAGUCUGAGAGGAUAUUGAAUAUAGUUCCCUGCAGAACUGGGUUUUGAAUCGGCAUCUGACUCUCCUCAAUGGUCCUGACUCUCCUCUGUGGCCCUAGAAGAUUCGAUAACCAGGUGUAAGAAGUUAAAGUUGGUCACCCCCAAAGGUCAAUGACUCUGCUGCGCCUCUGUGCCUCUGAGACUCAAAGUCAUACUUUCAAAUUCAACAGCCUCCUGGGGGAACACAGAGUAAGAGUAAUUUUUUUUUUUUUC